UGAGCCAGAGCAGCACCGUGG
rnacentral:siRNA from 1 species